rfam:Triticum aestivum genome assembly, contig: Triticum_aestivum_CS42_TGACv1_scaffold_513226_6BS
CUAAUACUCCCUCCGUCCCAAAAUUUUUGUCUUAAAUUUGUCUAAAUACAGAUGUAUCAAGUCACAUUUUAGUAUUAGGUACAUCCGUACCUACGCAAAUCUAAGAUAAGAAUUUUGGGAAGAAGGGAGUAUACA